rnacentral:rRNA from 1 species
UACGUAGGGGGCAAGCGUUGUCCGGAAUCAUUGGGCGUAAAGAGCGUGUAGGCGGCCCGAUAAGUCCGCUGUGAAAGUCCAGGGCUCAACCCUGGGAUGCCGGUGGAUACUGUCGGGCUCGAGUCCGGAAGAGGAGUGUGGAAUUCCUGGUGUAGCGGUGAAAUGCGCAGAUAUCAGGAGGAACACCAAUAGCGAAGGCAGCUCGCUGGGACGUUACUGACGCUGAGGAGCGAAAGCGUGGGGAGCGAACGGG